rnacentral:rRNA from 1 species
UGAGGAAUAUUCCACAAUGGGCGAAAGCCUGAUGGAGCGACGCCGCGUGAGGGAAGACGCCUUUCGGGGUGUAAACCUCUUUUAUUGGGGAUGACACACUCUUUUCCCUUCUCUUCUUCGCAAGAGGAAGGGGAGCAAGAGGGAGUUAGGACAGUACCCGAUGAAUAAGCCUCGGCUAACUACGUGCCAGCAGCCGCGGUAAUACGUAGGAGGCGAGCGUUGUCCGGAUUUACUGGGCGUAAAGGGCGCGCAGGCGGCACACUAAGUAUUUUGUGAAAGAACCCUGCUCAACGGGGAAAACGCGAAGUAAACUGGUGAGCUAGAGGACGGUAGAGGGUGGUAGAACUGCUGGUGUAGCGGUGAAAUGCGUAGAGAUCAGCAAGAAUACCCGUGGCGAAGGCGGCCAUCUGGGCCGAACCUGACGCUGAGGCGCGAAGGCUAGGGGAGCGAACGGGAUUAGAUACCCCCGUAGUCC